rnacentral:rRNA from 1 species
GGCUCAGGAUGAACGCUAGCUACAGGCUUAACACAUGCAAGUCGAGGGGAAACGAUAGAGAAAGCUUGCUUUUCUAGGCGUCGACCGGCGCACGGGUGAGUAACGCGUAUCCAACCUGCCCAUCACUUGGGGAUAACCUUGCGAAAGUAAGACUAAUACCCAAUGAUAUCUCUAGAAGACAUCUGAAGGAGAUUAAAGAUUCAUCGGUGAUGGAUGGGGAUGCGUCUGAUUAGCUUGUUGGCGGGGUAACGGCCCACCAAGGCAACGAUCAGUAGGGGUUCUGAGAGGAAGGUCCCCCACAUUGGAACUGAGACACGGUCCAAACUCCUACGGGAGGCAGCAGUGAGGAAUAUUGGUCAAUGGGCGAGAGCCUGAACCAGCCAAGUAGCGUGCAGGAUGACGGCCCUAUGGGUUGUAAACUGCUUUUAUAAGGGAAUAAAGUGGGUCACGUGUGACUUUUUGCAUGUACCUUAUGAAUAAGGACCGGCUAAUUCCGUG